AAGAGGGCCCUGCACCCCAUGGGAGACCAGGAUAAGCACCUAGCUCCUGCCUUCGGAUCAGGGCGGUGCGCUUUGCCGCAGCACGCCGGCCAUGGCCGCCAUUGGAGGGUGAACCAACGGCCAAAGGAAGACCUUUCUCUCUGUUUCUCUCUCUCUCACUGUCCACUCUGCCUGUAAAAAAAAAAAAAAAAAAAAAAAAAAAAAAAAAAAAAACCCUGCUUCCACCAUAACAGGAAGAGAGGCUCCUAUGUCCCUUCCCUUCAGCUCAUCCACCAUCCCCAUCUACAUCUUCUUCCCCUCCAAGACAUGCUGCCCAAAUCUCCAAAUAAUACCCUAACUUACACUGGGCCAACAGCCAUGGGCUUCUCUCCCAAGCCUCUCCUCUGGUCCCAAAAGGGGAAGGAACAGUGUAUUCGUACUUUCAGAAUGAGUACCUCCAGGAAAUCGGGGUAGAAGGCUCUGCCACGCAAGGGUGAUUCUGUAAUCUGGAAUUCUAAAUUUAGCAAGUGAUAUGAUCCAUGCUGAGCGAGUUUCUUCCUUUGCCUCAACUUCCUUCCACCUAUCAGCAGAAAUGAAAAGUUCAUGGAAGUCACACUUUCUCUGUCAGCCUCCAGUUAUUUGGAAAACUCCACCUAAGGAAUUUUCAAAGUCACUGCGUUCUUUGAAGUCUUCUGUUAUUGUUACAAUGGGACAUGUUCUCUGGGGCUGGCCAGCCAAGCAAGGGAGAGAGAGCUUCUUGUUUCUUCCUUUCACGGAGGAGGCGUGUGGUGCUGCAGCCGCAGUUUUGUGAUCCGGAGGGGACAGCUCCAGCGACCAAGAAGCUGAGCUAGGCCGGCACUGCAGCUAACUAGGCUAAUCCUCUGUCUGCAGCGACGGCACCCAGGGUUCUAGUCCCCGUCGGGGCGCCGGAUUCUGUCCCAGUCGCUCCUCUUCCAGGCCAGCUCUCUGCUGUGGCCCAGGGAGUGCAGUGGAGGAUGGCCCAAGUGCUUGGGCUCUGCACCCACAUGGGAGACCAGGAGAAGCACCCAGCUCCUGACUUCGGAUCAGCGCAGUGCACUGGCCACAGCGGCCAUUUGGGGUGACCCAACGGAAAAGGAAGACCUCUCUCUGUCUCUCUCUCUCACCUGUCCACUCUGCCUGUAAAAAAAAAAAAUAAAAAAAAAAAAAAAGGAAGCUGAGCCA
rnacentral:lncRNA from 1 species